rnacentral:rRNA from 1 species
GAUGAACGCUGGCGGCGUGCCUAAUACAUGCAAGUCGAGCGAACAGACGAGGAGCUUGCUCCUCUGACGUUAGCGGCGGACGGGUGAGUAACACGUGGAUAACCUACCUAUAAGACUGGGAUAACUUCGGGAAACCGGAGCUAAUACCGGAUAAUAUAUUGAACCGCAUGGUUCAAUAGUGAAAGACGGUUUUGCUGUCACUUAUAGAUGGAUCCGCGCCGCAUUGGCUAGUUGGUAAGGUAACGGCUUACCAAGGCAACGAUGCGUAGCCGACCUGAGAGGGUGAUCGGCCACACUGGAACUGAGACACGGUCCAGACUCCUACGGGAGGCAGCAGUAGGGAAUCUUCCGCAAUGGGCGAAAGCCUGACGGAGCAACGCCGCGUGAGUGAUGAAGGUCUUCGGAUCGUAAAACUCUGUUAUUAGGGAAGAACAAAUGUGUAAGUAACUAUGCACGUCUUGACGGUACCUAAUCAGAAAGCCACGGCUAACUACGU